UGGGGAAUUUUGGGCAAUGGGGGAAACCCUGACCCAGCAACGCCGCGUGAAGGACGAAAUCCCUCUGGGAUGUAAACUUCGAAAGUUGGGGAAGAAAUCCCGUUUGGUAAUAUCUUACGGGGAUGACGGUACCCAACGUAAGCCCCGGCUAACUACGUGCCAGCAGCCGCGGUAAUACGUAGGGGGCAAGCGUUGUUCGGAAUUACUGGGCGUAAAGGGCGCGUAGGCGGCACAGCAAGUCGGGAGUGAAAGCCCGGGGCUCAACCCCGGAACGUCUUUCGAAACUGCUGAGCUCGAGUGCGGAAGAGGCAACUGGAAUUCCCAGUGUAGCGGUGAAAUGCGUAGAUAUUGGGAAGAACACCUGAGGCGAAGGCGGGUUGCUGGGCCGACACUGACGCUGAGGCGCGAAAGCCAGGGGAGCAAACGG
rnacentral:rRNA from 1 species